UUAACUAUUAUAUAGUACUCAGACAAUAAUAAAUCAAGAGUUUAGGUCCUCUGGCAGGCACUGACCAGCCGAAGCCGGUUGUCUUUCGACGGGCCUGCCAAAGCAACAAUGGUAUUGUAAACAAAGGGUGGAGUAGUAGACCGAAGUCUAUAAACUCUUUAAUGAUCCUUCCGCAGGUUCCACUAGAAAAAUGCUGUUUCAGCAUUAAAUCGAUCAUAUCUUAACCCCAGAGGGCCACCUCUAUUUGAUCUGUGAACCUGCUAAGCAGGCUGCUAGUAAUACUAUUGUAAUUUCUAGCACAGUAGAGAUGUUGCCUGCCUAAGCAGACUGAUUUCGCAGGCGAACCACCUACGGAAA
rnacentral:misc_RNA from 1 species